GACGUAGGGCGCGAGCGUUGUCCGGAUUUAUUGGGCGUAAAGAGCGUGUAGGCGGCCAUGUAGGUCCGUUGUGAAAACUCGAGGCUCAACCUCGAGAGGUCGGUGGAAACCGUAUGGCUAGAGUCCGGAAGAGGAGAGUGGAAUUCCCGGUGUAGCGGUGAAAUGCGCAGAUAUCGGGAAGAACACCCGUGGCGAAGGCGGCUCUCUGGGACGGUACUGACGCUGAGACGCGAAAGCGUGGGGAGCGAACAGG
rnacentral:rRNA from 1 species